CAGUCGCCGCGGGAAUACGGAGGGUGCAAGCGUUAAUCGGAAUUACUGGGCGUAAAGCGCACGCAGGCGGUUUGUUAAGUCAGAUGUGAAAUCCCCGAGCUUAACUUGGGAACUGCAUUUGAAACUGGCAAGCUAGAGUCUUGUAGAGGGGGGUAGAAUUCCAGGUGUAGCGGUGAAAUGCGUAGAGAUGUGGAGGAACACCGAUGGCGAAGGCAGCCCCCUGGGCCAAUACUGACGCUCAUGCACGAAAGCGUGGGGAGCAAACAGGAUUAGAUACCCGGGUAGUCCCUGUCUCUUAUAC
rnacentral:rRNA from 1 species